GAUNAGCGUGGCGNCCNNCCAUAUACAUGCAAGCUCGAGCGGUAGAGAGAAGCUUGCUUCUCUUGAGAGCGGCGGACGGGUGAGUAAUGCCUAGGAAUCUGCCUGGUAGUGGGGGAUAACGCUCGGAAACGGACGCUAAUACCGCAUACGUCCUACGGGAGAAAGCAGGGGACCUUCGGGCCUUGCGCUAUCAGAUGAGCCUAGGUCGGAUUAGCUAGUUGGUGAGGUAAUGGCUCACCAAGGCGACGAUCCGUAACUGGUCUGAGAGGAUGAUCAGUCACACUGGAACUGAGACACGGUCCAGACUCCUACGGGAGGCAGCAGUGGGGAAUAUUGGACAAUGGGCGAAAGCCUGAUCCAGCCAUGCCGCGUGUGUGAAGAAGGUCUUCGGAUUGUAAAGCACUUUAAGUUGGGAGGAAGGGCAUUAACCUAAUACGUUAGUGUUUUGACGUUACCGACAGAAUAAGCACCGGCUAACUCUGUGCCAGCAGCCGCGGUAAUACAGAGGGUGCAAGCGUUAAUCGGAAUUACUGGGCGUAAAGCGCGCGUAGGUGGUUUGUUAAGUUGAAUGUGAAAUCCCCGGGCUCAACCUGGGAACUGCAUCCAAAACUGGCAAGCUAGAGUAUGGUAGAGGGUGGUGGAAUUUCCUGUGUAGCGGUGAAAUGCGUAGAUAUAGGAAGGAACACCAGUGGCGAAGGCGACCACCUGGACUGAUACUGACACUGAGGUGCGAAAGCGUGGGGAGCAACAGGAUUAGAUACCCUGGUAGUCNCGCCGUAACGAUGUCACUANCNUUGGGGACUUNGAGUCUUUAGUGGNCACCUACNCAUAANUNACGCCUGGGANUCGNCNCAGNUAAACUCAAUGAUGACGGGCCCCCANCGGGGACUUGUUAUCAACACCAAACUNCNGCUGNUCAUAANUCAAUGAGAUCUCGACUNACGGCNAGCUCCNNNGCGANUGUANCANACNCUUCUAUCCCUGGGCUAGAUCGAACNNAGGANCAUUGCUCCGNCCUAGGAAGUCCGGACANNCNNNCNGAAUNANGACNCCCCCGGNAANNNNGGGGGGNNGCNA
rnacentral:rRNA from 1 species